rnacentral:rRNA from 1 species
AGCGAACGCUGGCGGCAGGCCUAACACAUGCAAGUCGAACGAACCUUUCGGGGCUAGUGGCGGACGGGUGAGUAACACGUGGGAACGUGCCUUUAGGUUCGGAAUAACUCAGGGAAACUUGUGCUAAUACCGAAUGUGCCCUUCGGGGGAAAGAUUAAUCGCCUUUAGAUCGGCCCGCGUCUGAUUAGCUAGUUGGUUGAGGUAAUGGCUCACCAAGGCGACGAUCAGUAGCUGGUCUGAGAGGAUGAUCAGCCACAUUGGGACUGAGACACGGCCCAAACUCCUACGGGAGGCAGCAGUGGGGAAUCUUGCGCAAUGGGCGAAAGCCUGACGCAGCAAUGCCGCGUGAAUGAUGAAGGUCUUAGGAUUGUAAAAUUCUUUCACCGGGGACGAUAAUGACGGUACCCGGAGAAGAAGCCCCGGCUAACUUCGUG